UGGGCUUAGAUGUACUUUUCCUACACAUUUAGACUCAAACUGAAAGGAUAGUUCAACUUCAACGAUCACAGCGUACUUGCAAAAAGAAAAUGAAUGGAGGAAUCUUGCACACUUGAGAGCAGUUAAAAAAACAUUCUGAUACAGUUUAAACCUUUCCUUGACUGGCUCUCGGUGGCCCUCUUUGUUUCCUGUACCUGUGGUAGGUGGACUUGUACACACAGAAAAAAAGAGGAACUUGCAUUCACAUCCUUCUUUCAGUAACUGACAGGAAACAAUGAACAAGAGAACAGCUCUAACAAUUCUAUGCUGUUCCAUGUUCUGUGGGGCUUUUGGAGCAGGUCAAAAUGAGAUUCUAGUGGAACCAGGGGACACAGUCACCCUUGGCUGUGACAUUACCCUGGAGUACGAGGUCAUGUGGUUUGUUCUUCGUCCUGAUGCCACUCUUUCAGUAGCCAUCACUAUAAAGACAAAUACACCCCUGAGCCUCAACAAAAGGUUUGAUGGUCGUUUCGAGUCAGUGUAUAACACAGGCCUGUUCAGAAGCAAUCUGAGCAUACUGAACAUCUCAGAGAGUGACGUGGGUCUGUACUACUGUGUUGAGCAGAGGGCUAACAUAUUUGAGAUCGGAAGUGGGACCAAGCUCUCCCUUAGUGGUGGGGAGUAAACUCUGCAUUAUGACUGCAUAACUGUGGUUUUGCAUUGGGAGCAUUCUAAAAAAUAUACACCCGGUUCAAUAAAGUUUAAACUCAAGUCAAUUCAGGAUAUGGAUUUCAAUGAUAAAUAUAUACCAUAACAGUUGGAUGAAACAAAUGUAAUAUAUUUAUGUCACAAGCUGCUAUAUGCACUAGACCUAUUUAUACAUUUUUAAUAUGGUAUGUUUAAGAUUGUUUUUCAAUUGUUUUAAAUGUGAUUAAAUCUUUAUAUUCACACACAAAGAAAGCUGUAAAUAACAGUUGAACUGUUAUGAACAUUCUGUCA